rnacentral:tRNA from 1 species
GCCCAUGUAGUAUAGUGGUUAGUACUCCACGUUGUGGCCGUGGCAACGCAGGUCCGAAUCCUGUCUUGGGCA